CAAUGUGCCGGCCCAGGGCGGGCAGCGGCCCUGCCUCCUACCCUUGCGCCUCAUGACCAGCUUGUUGAAGAGAUCCGACAUCAAGUGCCCACCUUGGCUCGUGGCUCUCACUGCAACGGGAAAGUCACAGACUGGGGUGAAGAGUUCAGUCACAUGCGACCGGUGGCUCCCUGUCCCCACCCCCAUGACACUCCCCAGCCCUCCAAGGCCACUGUGUUUCCCAGUUAGCUCAGAGCCUCAGUCGAUCCCUGACCCAGCACUGGGCACUGAUGAGAAAGCGGCUGUUUGAGGAGCCACCUCCCAGCCACCUCGGGGACAGGGCCAGGGCCGAGAGCUGAGUGCAAGGGAGAGGCAGCGCUGUCUGUGCUUCCCAUGCAGAAGCACCCCCCUCCCACCCCUGUGCAGGCCGGCCUUCGCGGCAGACCACCAUACACCACGUUCCAAGCACGCAGUCCCCAUCUUGGCAAGGAAACACAAUUUCCGAGGGAAUGGUUUUGGCCUCCAUUCUAAGUGCUGGACAUGGGGUGGCCAUAAUCUGGAGCUGAUGGCUCUUAAAGACCUGCAUCCUCUUCCCUAGGCUUCCCUCGGGCACAUUUAGCACAAAGAUAAGCACAAAAGGUGCAUCCAGCACUUUGUUACUAUUGGUGGCAGGUUCAUGAAUGGCAACCAAAGGCAGUGUACGGGUCAAGAUUAUCAACAGGGAAGAGAUAGCAUUUCCUGAAGGCUUCCUAGGUGCCAGGCACUGUUCCAUUCCUUUGCAUGUUUUGAUUAAUUUAAUAUUUACAAUAAUUCUACCAGGA
rnacentral:lncRNA from 10 species